AGCGUGGGCUGGGCCUGCAGCAACGGAAAGGCGCCACGCUCGUGAGGGGAACCAGCGUUCCGGGGGCGCUCAGUGUGGGCAGGCAGGAAGCCUGGCUCCACUAGGACACACAAAUUCUCUCCUGAGCAGCUGCGAACUAUGCGCCCCUUCUACCCUUAAGAGAUGGGAUGGGAGUCCAACAAACGCAGCCAUUACUCAGACCCCAGCCCUUCUCUCCUCUAAGAAGCAGGUUCACCUCUGCCACCGCACUCGCAUUUUUUUUUUAAAGCCCGGCCUUUCCUAGGCGGGGUCAAGGGCCCCGCCCACCGAAGCCACGCCCAGUAGCCGCCCCGGGGCGGGGCUCCCCUCGGCUCCCGGCUGCCCUUUCCCCUCCGGCCUCUGCCGGUGCUGCUGCGCCCCGCGGAGCUCCGAACACGUGCGCAGAGGCCGGCUGUGGCAGAUGCAACUGCAGGAUGACUUGAAAGUAGGGCAUCCUUCACCCAUCUGAAGGGAGGAAAUAGUGGCAGGUGACAGUCUGCAUGUGCAGUUUUCAGAUGCCUUCACCUGAAUGACAUCUACCUCCAUCAGGACCCCAGAUGUCUGAUAGCCCUGUGUGACACCAAGAUAAGUAAUGUGUGUAGUCUUCUUGUCAUGUAGGUCCCAAUUAAACUACUAUAGCUCACAUGGGGGUAGGGGACUUAAAAUUAUGAUUUGAAAAAUUAUGUAGAGUAUCAGACUUUUUUUUUUUUUUUUUUUUUUUUGGACGGAGUCUUGCUCAGUUGCCCGGGCUGGAGUGCAGUGGCUCGAUCUCGGCUCACUGCAACCUCUGCCUCCUGGGUUCAAGCGAUUAUCCUGCCUCAGCCUCCCGAGUAGCUGGGACUACAGGCACCUGCCACUAUGCCAGGCUAAUUUUUUUAUUUUAAGUAGAGACGAGGUUUCACCAUAUUUGCCAGGCUGGUGUGAAACUCCUGACCUUGUGAUUUGCCUGCCUCGGCCUCCCAAAAUGCUGGGAUUACAGGUUUUUUUGUUUGUUUUUUGAGACGGAGUCUCACUGUCGCCCAGGCUAGAGUGCAAUGGCGCUAUCUCGGCUCACUACAACCUCUACCUCCUGGGUUCAAGCGAUUCUCCUGCCUCGGCCUCCUGAGUAGAUGGGAUUAUAGGCUCGCACCACCACACCCAGCUAAUUUUUGUAUUUUUAGUAGAGAUGGGGUUUCACCAUGUUGGUCAGGCUGGUCUCGAACUCCUGACCUCGUGAUCUACCUGCCUUGGCCUCCUAAAGUGCUGGGAGUACAGGCAUGAGCCACCGCGCCCAGCCAAGUAUCAGAAUUUUAGAGAAUUCUUAGAAUCUAAAGUCCAUCCCUCACUUUUCUAGAGCUCUGCUGUGCAGUAGCUAUAUGCUACAUGUGGCUGUGUAAGUUGAUAAAAAUUAAUCAAUUUCUUAAUCUCAGAAUCUGUUUGGCUGCUGACUACCCUAUUGGACAACUCCAAUAUUAGAGAACAUUUCCACCAAUUCAGAAAGUUUAUUAUGCACUGCUGUUCUAGAGCAGGGAUCAGCAAACUUGCUGUAAAGAGCCAGGUAAUAUUAUGCUUGUUCAGCCAUGUGGUUUUUGCAACUAUUUUUGCAGCUCUAGUACAAACACAGGCUUAGACAAUAUCAACACAUGAGCAAGUCUAUAGUUCUAAUAGAACAUUAUUUAUAGACAUUGAAUUAGAAUUUCAUAAAAUUUUCAGUGUCAAAAUUGUUUUCAAUGAUUUACAAAUUUAAAGACCAUUCUUAUUUUGAGAGCCAUACAAAAACAGCAGGCUGGAAUUGGCCCGUAGGCUAUGGUUUGCCAACCUGUGUCCUGGAGAAUGAAAUUCAGGCCUUGAAAGUUGAACAGCUCAUUAGUGACAGGUUCAGAGCCAAUAGCAACGUGUCUUUCUGAAAAGUUUAAUGUUAUCAAUAGCUUUGCCUUAGAGCAUCAUACUCUUCAUCUUUUAGGGCACUAAGGUGACUGCAAGAAAUUAACCAGUAGUAAAAAUAGUCUGUUUUUUGUGUGUUUGGGAUUUGUUUAUGUGUUUUUUUGCAUGGGUUACUCAUAGCAGUUCUCUCCACUUUUAAUGUGCCCCAAAGGGAGAGGUCUUAAGAAAGAAUAGCAGUCUGCACUUAUCAAACUCAGCCACAAUCUCAGUCUGAGUUGGUAAAACCGAAAUGGCUCCUAAGAGGAAAAUUUUGUGUCAUGAAUAGUCACAGUAUUUUAAAUCUGAGGCCUCAAGUUCUAAGCAUACAGGUUGUCUUCCUGACUACAGUAGUGCUAUCCAUGUGCAGAGAUGUUCCUAUGUUGCUGCUUGAAAAGAGAUAAUUCAUUGGUAUUUCUGUUCCUGUGUUCAAUAUCCCAAAAGGCAUCAAUGGUGUAAUCAUGUGCAUUUAAAUAAUUUGAUGGGAUUUCCUACUUGAUAAAUAAAGUUAAUUACUCACCUACUUAUCCCUGUCAAUUUUUUUUUUUUUUUUUUUUUUAAAGCAAAGAAAUUAUUUCCUGGUGAGUCUAAGAAGAUUAGUUUUUAAAAUCUUUUUUGAUACAGGGUCUCAACUGUGUCACCCAGCCUGGGGUGCAGUGGCACAAUCACAGCUCACUGCACCCUUGACCUCCUGGGCCAAGCAAACCUCCUGCCUCAGCCUCCCAAGUAGCUGGGACUAUAGGCAUGUGCUACCAUGCCUGGCUUCAAAGUAGUUGUUUUUUUUAGAGACAGGGUCUCACUCAGGCUGGUGUGCAGUGGUGUGGUCACAGCUCACUGCAGUCUCAACUUUCUGGGCUCACGUGGUCCUCCUGACUCAGCCUCCUGAGUAGCUAGGAUUACAGGUGUCACUGUGCCUGGCCUCGAAGUAGUUUGUUUUUUGUUGUUGUUGUUGUUGUUGUUUUGAGAUGAUGUCUUGCUCUGUUGCCCAGGCUGGAGUGCAGUGGCACGAUCUCAGCUCACUGCAACCUCCGCCUCCUGGGUUCAAGCAAUUCUCCUGCCUCAGCCACCCAAGUAGCUGGGACUAUAGUCACACGCCACCAUACCUGGCUAAAUUGUUUUUGUAUUUUUAGUAGAGAUGGGGUUUUGCCAUGCCAUUUCGGCCAGGCUGGUCUCAAACUCCUUACCUCAGGUGAUCCACCCGCCUCAGCCUCCCAAAGUGCUGGGAUUACAGGUGUGAGCUACCACACCCAGCUGAAGUAGUUUUUUUCUGUUAAUCUUUUCCCAUGCUGCAAUGGAAACUUGAAUGAGACUGGCAGGGUUACUGGUCUGUAAAUACCCAGGCUGCCAGCUGCCAUAGGUAGCAGUAAACACAAGUGCCUCUUUUCAUUGCGUAGGCCAAGUUUCAGGUCUUAGGCCUGUACCAUAUUAAGAGGAAAAACUAAAAAUAAGGAGGGUUUCCAAACACCCUCACCACCAACCUUGAAUUUUUUAAAAAAUGAGGGUACCACAAUUAAUAAACACUAUUCCUGGCACCUGUCCAUGAUUUCACUUGCUGGGUUGAAACAAACUAGUGUCAGUGGGAUUUUAUGUUGAAAUUUUGGAUCAUGUCUCACUCAAAUUUCAACCAGAAAAGCAAAACCCAGAGGGAUAAAUUCUGCAAGUCCCAAAGGGAUACAAAGAGGUGGCUAAGUGCCUAGGAAUUCACACAAAGGAAAACACCAUGUUAAGAGCAACUAAUUAAGAACUUAAAAAGAGUGACAAUGACGCCUGUGAAUGUUGUUGCUUAAUUAGGGCUUUAUGAACACAGCUCCAGUUAAUGGACCUGUCAAUACACUCUUGAAAAACAAUUUCACUGAAUUAACAAAUUAACUGUAAUAACUUAAAAUCUCUGCUUAGCAACAUCUUUCUCCUUAAUGCUAUUUAGGAACACUUGUAAUGAGCCAACUUGAUGAGUCAUAAAUUUGUCAGUUUAGUAGCCUAAGGCUUGUUCAGAGGAGUCCCUGUUACUUGUUUGGCCUUCCUUGCCCUCCAGUAAAGGCCCUUUAGGGUGUAAGAAUGUUCUAUGCUGCUUCUUAAGGGUGAUAUACUAAUUGGGAAAGUACAGUAAAAAGGACUUUAAAAUUUAUUUUAUUUUACAAUACUUUUAGAUUUAUAGAAAAGUUGGGGAGAUGGUACAAAGAGUUCCCAUAUAUACCAUACCCCGUUUCCCCUAAUAACACCUUACAUUGGUAUAUUAUGGUUGUCACAAUUAAAUGGGCUAAUAUUGAUACAUUAGUAUUAACUAAAGUCCAUACUUUGUUCAGAUUUCAUUAGUUUUUAAUGUAAUGUCUUUUGUCUGUUCCAGGAUCCCGUUGAAGAUACCACAUUACACUUAGGCUCCUGUUGGCCAUGACAGCUUCUUAGACUUGUUUUUAAUGACCUUGACAGUUUUGUUUUUUUGUUUUUAUUUGAGAUGGAAUCUCUGUCAUCCAGGCUGGAGUGCAAUGUAAUGGCUCAAUCUCAGCUCACUGCAACCUCUGCCUCCCGGGUUCAAAUGAUUCUCCUGCCUCAGCCUCCCCAGUAGCUGGGAUUACAGUCACGAGCCACCGCGCCCAGCCGCCUCCUAAAUUCUUAAAACAUUCCAUUUUUAUUCUGUGGUCUUAGUUUAUUCUGUCAUGUAGAGAAUAGUGGUUGAGCCUGUUGUCUUUUGAGAGUGGAUGCUGUAGUCCUUACAUGGCUGAUUUUCACCCCGUAAGCUUAUAGUAGAGGAUGGGGAUUUUGUUAUCAGCUGCUAAAAGGGAGAAGCCAAGCCCAGAACUAAGGGUUCUGAUGAGUUGAAGGAGAGGGAAGAUGCCCCUCAAGGCAAAGAGCCUCUGAGUUAGAAUCUGUGCUUCACCAGAGUGACAAUGGUAGAACUUCUCCUUCUCAGUAUUAAUUCUCCUGGAGAGAACUCUAGGGUUGUCUAAACCUGUUCAAAUAGGCUGACUACCCCAGCAAGUCAUGGGUUGGACAUAAGGCAACGAACAGGAGGGGUGAAAGGGGGCAGAACAGACAUUCUAUCCUUUUUCUACACUGGGCUUCCAUUUCUUACCCCAACCAUGAUCUGUUCUUCCAGGUGCUAUCAUUUAAUUUCCCAGACACUUGACCUCCUUCUGAUUUGUGUACUCCCUCCAAGGCUGAGUUGCAGUGAGUGACAAUAAUCUGUGCUAAUUACUUAUCUUGCCAGAAGACUCAAAGGGUUUAUGGCUUUUAUUAACUGAACUCUAUGCUAGAUGUUAGGGAUAAAUGGUUAACAGGACACAGUUCUUGCUUAUCUUGCUAUGGUCUGUCAAGCCUUAUACAAUCUAGCCUUAUCUCUCUCACCCUCUUCUCUUUAUCACCCGUAGAUUCCCUUGCUGGCCACGCUGGUUUCUUUCAGUCCUUAAUUAGCCUUUUGUCACUACCUGUCUACACAUGCUGUUUUUCCCUUCUCAUUCCAUCUUGACAUUGUCUAUUUUGAGAUCUCAGCUCAGUUGCAGAGAAGCUGCCUUCCCCGUCUGGCAACCCAUUAUAUGUGUCAUAGUACCAUGUUGUACCAUAGAGCUAGACACAGGUGCCAUGUUGUGUCUUGAAAUGUAUUCACCAGCGUCCAAAGGUUUACCUCAAUCCCCUUUACUCAAGAAGCCUCAGUUCUACUGACAGUUGGUAAUAAUAACCUCUCUGUCAUAAUGUACCCAAAAUACAGUAAGAAUAUCAUGCUUUUCAGUAAUACUCCAGUGAGUGAGGCUAAGAGUACCAUUUUUGUUCUUGUAAAAGAAUUUUUUUGGACAUGAAUACAAAGGUGUCAGGUUACCAAAUCAUUUGCUAGUAGACCCUAACAAUAUCACCUAUAGGAAACUAAAUGUAGCCUUUAAACAUUAAGUGAUGAUAAUGGAUUUGGCCGGGCGCGGUUGCCUAUAAAAAAAAUCCAGCACUGAGAGGCUGAGGUGGGUGCAUCACUUGAGGCCAGGACAAGACCAGCAUGGCCAACAUGGUGAAACCCCAUCUCUACAAAAGAAAAAAAUACAAAAAUUAGCUGGGUGUGGUGGUGCAUGCCUGUAAUCCCAACUAUUUGGGUGGCUGAGGCACGAGAAUCACUUGAACUUGGCAGGCAGAGGUUGCAGUGAGCUGAGAUCGUGCCACUACAUUACAGCCUGGGUGACAGACCGAGACUGUCUCAAAAAAAAAAAAAAGAAAAUAAUGGAUUUGCAGAGACUUGCUAUUUAGAUUUCAGACAUCUGUUAACUAAAACACAUGUGUAGGCUUUUGUUACUUAUUUCAGUGAUCUGUAAAUAUCUUUAUAUUUGAGAAAAGUUGUGAGACAUCUUUGUGUGUAAAUUAUAACUUGCGGAACCUCUCUUACAAGCAGGCAUAUUGGUAAGUAGCUGCCAGGAUAUAACUUAUAACCAGAUUGAAGUGUAUAAUUAUAUGUUAUUAUUCUGGGGUUCUAUAAAAAAUAAAAUCUUUGAAUCUA